rnacentral:rRNA from 1 species
CCUACGGGUGGCAGCAGUGGGGAAUAUUGCACAAUGGGGGAAACCCUGAUGCAGCGACGCCGCGUGAGUGAAGAAGUAAUUCGUUACGUAAAGCUCUAUCAGCAGGGAAGAAAAUGACGGCUCCUGAGUAAGAAGCACCCGCCAACUACGUCCCAGCAGCCGCGGCAAUACGGAGGGGGCAAGCGUCAUCCGGAUUCACUGGGUGUAGAGAGAGCGUAGAGGGUACGCCAAGUCCUGAGUUAAAUGCCGCGGUUUAACUGCCGAACUGCUUUGGAAACUGGCGUACUAGAGUGCGGGAGGGGUAAGCGGAAUUCCUAGUGUAGCGGUGAAAUGCGUAGAUAUUAGGAGGAACACCAGUGGCGAAGGCGGCUUACUGGACCGUAACUGACGUUGAGGCUCGAAAGCGUGGGGAGCAAACAGGAUUAGAUACCCGGGUAGUC